CCCGCAGCACAAGUGGUGGUCAUUAUUAUUGGGCCUAAAGCGUCCGUAGCUGGCUUGUUAGAUGCCUGGGUAAAUCGAUGCGCUCAACGCAUCGAAUUCCGGGUAGACCGGCAAGCUUGGGACCGGGAGAGGCGUGAGCUACUCGAGGGGUAGGGGUAAAAUCCUGUAAUCCUUCGGGGAGGACCAGUGGCGAAGGCGUCACGCUAGAACGGCUCCGACAGUGAGGGACGAAGCCCUGGGGCGCAAACCGGAUUAGAUACCCGGGUAGUCCAGGGUGUAAACGCUGCAGACUUGGCGUCGGUGAUCCUACGAGGGUUGCCGGUGCCGUAGAGAAGUUGUUUAGUCUGCCGCCUGGGGAGUACGGUCGCAAGACUG
rnacentral:rRNA from 1 species